rnacentral:rRNA from 1 species
AUUGAACGCUAGCGGCAUGCUUUACACAUGCAAGUCGAACGGCAGCGGGGAGUAGCUUGCUACUCUGCCGGCGAGUGGCGAACGGGUGAGUAAUGCAUCGGGACGUGCCCAGUAGUGGGGGAUAACUUAGCGAAAGCUAGGCUAAUACCGCAUACGCACUGAGGUGGAAAGCGGGGGAUCGCAAGACCUCGCGCUAUUGGAGCGACCGAUGUCCGAUUAGCUAGUUGGUGGGGUAAAGGCCUACCAAGGCGACGAUCUGUAGCGGGUCUGAGAGGAUGAGCCGCCACACGGGGACUGAGACACGGCCCAGACUCCUACGGGAGGUAGCAGUGGGGAAUAUUGGACAAUGGGGGGAACCCUGAUCCAGCCAUGCCGCGUGUGUGAAGAAGGCCUUAUGGUUGUAAAGCACUUUAAGCGAGGAGGAGGCUCUUUUGGUUAAUACCCAAGAUGAGUGGACGUUACUCGCAGAAUAAGCACCGGCUAACUCUGUGCCAGCAGCCGCCGUAA